GGCGAAGUUAAUUCCUACCGCCGUGCCGUCUGUGCAUGCAAACCACUCUGCCUGCCCUGUCCCGAGGUCGAGAGACACCGUCUGCCGCAAGCGAGAGAUUGCCACGAUGUUGACAGACGCCUCACAGCAGGAGACCGUGCACAGUGUAGACACUGUGGAGGGUGUCGAUACUGGGGAUCAGCCCUUGCCCUCCUCCACUUCUGACGCUGGGACACAAUGUUAUUUGAAGCCCCCCCGAUGGUCUCACGCUGUGCAGGUUAACCUGAAGCCCAAGAUGGUUAGCGUGGGCACACAGACUUCAAUCAGCCCACAAACCUCCACUCCCCUCGCUAGUCCUGAACAGACAGUUGAUGACGAUGAUGAUGAUAAUGCCACUGUCAUCAGUGACUUGUCGUGGGUGCCCGAAGAGCCGAUGGAUGAGGAGGAAUUGUUUGAUGAGGAGCCACCUUACACGUGUGACCCCCACCACAAUUGCAUUGACAAAUUCAUUGUUUGCCAAGAGGAGCUGAUGGGCCUUUUUGCCAUCUGUCCGGCCUGUUGUGAGAGGUCGGAUAGUAGCAUCGUGCAGCAGGAAGGAACUUUUGUUAAGAUCAAGCAGGUCUGUGCAUCAUGUGGCUACCACCGUUUCUGGCAAAACCAGCCAAUGCUCCACAGGAACAUGCCAACCUGCAACCUCCUGUUAAGUGGG
ensembl:lncRNA